AUUGCGCCGGGCCUCGCUGCUCCACGUUGAAUCGGCUUCGCUCUGCCCCCCUCCCUCUGCAGCUGAACAUUUCUGCUGUUGCAUCAGAGUUUCCCACACUGCACCUGCAGCAAGCGUCCGGUCCGAGACCUCAAACGGGCGCUUUGAAGCCGAGCGGGAACCGCCGUUUUAACUGACUCCAUCUUGUCCAGAUGAAAGCGGGGAGAGCGUCAGGUUUUCACAAACACAGAUCAGGCAGGUCUUUCCCACAUCGGAGAGGCUUGAUUCAUUAGGACAGCGCGUCUCUGGAGGGAAAUCUCAAAGGGUCUGAUGGUCUUUCCCACAUCGGAGAGGCUUGAUUCAUUAGGACAGCGGGUCUCUGGAGGGAAAUCUCAAGAGGUCUUCUAAUGGUGCGAGUGACUGAAAAACACUCUGCGAGGAAAAAACCUGAAGAAAGACAACACUUCCUUUUUCCUCCCUCUUUCAUUAAAAACAAAUGAGCUCUCCCUGUCAACAAAGUGCCAUAAGCGCUCCACCAGCGCCACCAGCAGCACCAGCAGCAGCCUGGGGAAUUCCCAUUAAAGGCGUUUGAGGCCGAAUCGGCCUACAAAUAAACGCAGUGCUCCUGGGAAAUCACGGCAACAAGCAGAUACAUGUUAAAACUCGGGAGAGGCUUCCCCAAAAUCCAGAUGUGGUUCUCCGGCCGUCCUCGCCGGUAAUGAACCAAUUAGAGAGACAAUUAUGAACACCUGUGACGCUGAUUGGCACGGCGCGGCCGCGUCUCCUUCCGCGGCGCUAAAGACGCACCGAAUGUUGCUAAAGUUAACCUUUAACAAGGCCUGUAAUGAUGACGAG